rnacentral:lncRNA from 1 species
AUCAACAGUGGGUAGCUCUCUAGCAGGACUAACCGGAAAGCCAGGUGGGGACACAAAUGGCCACCAUCGGGGAGAGAAGGUGCACCCCAGGGUGAGGCGGUAGAUGUGAAUAAGGUCAUGGAAAUCUUCUGGACAAGACGCAGACCUUUCUGGAGCAGGCCACCCGCGCUUGAGGCCCCCAGUCUCGGACUGAGGCCACCCGAUGUCAGCCGUGGUGCCCACGGUGGUUGAUUCAAAAUGACUGAUGGGACCCCUCAGCUUUGUCCUUGGAAACUGGCAGGUGCUGCGACCCCUCUGGACACGCCACAGCUCAGGAGGGCGCCGCUCCCUGCCACCUCCAGGCCCCCGGGAUGGCUUUGGCUCUCUUGUGUCCCUGGCCUUUCCUUCUUCUCCCCGUGACGACGUGAGACCCGUGUCCCUGCCCUGGCAGUGAGCCCUUCAGCCCGUCCUCCCAGGGCACCUGCUGGGCUGUCCACCAGGGGGCCUCCUGCUGGGCACAGAAGGUUGCCUUCAGUUUCCUUUGCCCUGGGCCACCAGGCGUCCUGCCAGGUUGAAGGGCCAGUCAGCAGGGGCACUGCAAAGGGGGGCCUGGUGGCACCAGGUGGUUCACACGGAAGGCUGAUGGGGCCUCUGCCAAGUGCCACAUCAUGAGGAUGUCCCUGCCACGGUGUUGACCACCCAGUACUGGAAGUGACGCGCCCCGCAGCCAUGGAGCGUGGCGGGGGGUGGGGUGGGGGGCCUGUUUCCUUCUGAAGUCGUCAGUUUCACGGGUUCAGGUUCACCUGCUUCUCUUGUUGUGGACGGUGGGGCUCGCGGUCCUUUCUGUUUUAUUUUAACUCUUUAUUUCAGGGCUAUGAAAUAUCAAUCAGCUCCAAGUUUCAGCAGGAAGCAGUUGGUAGGCAGUGUGCAUUCUGUGCCUCUGUGCCUGCCUCUGGUCUCCUGUGGGUUUUUACUUCCACGCCCUUGGCGGGCACCUCUGCCUGUGGCUCCCACCUGGCAGCCCGUGCAAUGCCAGCCCGGCUGCCCCCAGAGGGGGCUCAGGGAGAGCCUGCUGCCUCCGCUAACCCCGUCGACAGAGGAAUCUGCUCUUCUUCGG